rnacentral:misc_RNA from 1 species
AACCUAGCACACCUGCGGUGUGUACCUGCGGAGGGAUCAUCAUAGAAAACAUCACAAUAACCCAAGAGGGGGGGAGGGGAGAGAAGAUGAGGUGUUAUGCCUCUCUUCUUUUUCUCUCUUUCUCUCUUGGGUAACCAAACAACUUACAUGACUAUGAAAACAGAGAGGGAUGAGAGGAGAGGAGAGGAAGACAGGAAGUGCUAUCUGAUUGGUUAGCCUUCUUGCUGACUUGACUCGACU